GAUGAACGCUGGCGGCGUGCCUAAUACAUGCAAGUCGAGCGAACAGACGAGGAGCUUGCUCCUCUGACGUUAGCGGCGGACGGGUGAGUAGCACGUGGAUAACCUACCUAUAAGACUGGGAUAACUUCGGGAAACCGGAGCUAAUACCGGAUAAUAUAUUGAACCGCAUGGUUCAAUAGUGAAAGACGGUUUUGCUGUCACUUAUAGAUGGAUCCGCGCCGCAUUAGCUAGUUGGUAAGGUAACGGCUUACCAAGGCAACGAUGCGUAGCCGACCUGAGAGGGUGAUCGGCCACACUGGAACUGAGACACGGUCCAGACUCCUACGGGAGGCAGCAGUAGGGAAUCUUCCGCAAUGGGCGAAAGCCUGACGGAGCAACGCCGAGUGAGUGAUGAAGGUCUUCGGAUCGUAAAACUCUGUUAUUAGGGAAGAACAAAUGUGUAAGUAACUAUGCACGUCUUGACGGUACCUAAUCAGAAAGCCACGGCUAACUACGUG
rnacentral:rRNA from 1 species